AAAUGCAGCCAGGAAGCGCCGAGAAACACUGGCUUCUCAGAUUAGAAGCAGUUCUAGCUUGCAGUUAUAGUCUAGAUGUCGCUUGAGGGAUUUUUUAGAAGACAAACCCAGCCACAUAAGAUUGGAACAUUUUCUCCCUGACAGGGCGAACCUUCACGAGAGCCCGGGUGACAUUUUUAUUAUUAUUGAUGUCCCCACGCAGAUGAGAGGAGGUGAGAGGGCCACCCUCGAGUUCUCCUUUCGUCGAAAUGAAAGGGUUGUGGGAAUAAAGACAAAAUAAAUAAAUAAAUAAAAGGAGUGCGUAAUCAUUUUUUUUUUCUGAAAUUUGUGAAUGUGCUACUAUUUGGGAUAUUUUGAUUUGGCAAAAUGUUUUUUUCUCUUUAGAAUAAACGUUGUUUUUCUGUAAUAUUUUGUAGCUUUUUUUUUACCUCCAGUAAUUUAAGGAUGCAUUUUUAAUAACAUUGUUAUUACCUGAAUAAUGCUGAACUGUAUUUGUCUAUUUUUUAAACCAAUUUUGCCUUUUUGUUAUUCGUACUCAUGACAGAAAAAUUACAAAUUAAAACUAAAAGAUGUAAUUUCAUUUAAUUCAUUUAUUUUAUUUAUUUCUUCGGACUGGAGCAGCAUGGAAUGUUUGACAUCGAAAAAGAUGGUUUGUGUUUUCUUUAAUAUUAAAAAAUAAAAACGUUUAAAAACUA